CGAGCGAUGAAGCACCUUCGGGUGUGAAUUAGCGGCGAACGGGUGAGGAGCACGUGAAGAAUCUGCCUUCAACUCUGGGAUAACUCCGGGAAACCGGGGCUAAUACCGGAUAUGAGCCUUGAUCGCAUGAUCGGGGCUGGAAAGUUUUUCGGUUGAAGAUGACUUCGCGGCCUAUCAGCUUGUUGGUGAGGUAAUGGCUCACCAAGGCGACGACGGGUAGCCGGCCUGAGAGGGCGACCGGCCACACUGGGACUGAGACACGGCCCAGACUCCUACGGGAGGCAGCAGUGGGGAAUAUUGGGCAAUGGAGGAAACUCUGACCCAGCGACGCCGCGUGAGGGAUGAAGGCCUUCGGGUUGUAAACCUCUUUCAGUAGGGAAGAAGCGAAAGUGACGGUACCUACAGAAGAAGCACCGGCUAACUAUGUGCCAGCAGCCGCGGUAAUACAUAUGGUGCAAGCGUUGUCCGGAAUUAUUGGGC
rnacentral:rRNA from 1 species